UUUUUUUAUAUAUUGUGAUUGUCUUCUUCAUGAUUACUAUGUUACCUAAAACUGUCUAGGAGAAGAAAAACACAUCAUAAGGUACAAAGCAUUCAAUAUACACUAGAUGAAUGGUGUAAAAAAAAAUGAUUGACAGUGACUACAACAAUGAAAAUAGAUCAGAAAAAGAAAACUGAAUACCAUAAUUAUGAUGACCAAACUCAGUCCUAGAGAAGAGCUGAUUAAAGGCACCUCUCUGCCUCUUUACAGAAAUGAGGAACAAUAGUUUUAACCUGUGUUUACAAAGGAUGGCUCACAAAGUAUGGGAAGAGGAAAACAAAAGUGAUGUAAAAAAAACCCUAAGAUAUCCAUAAAAAUAAGAUUUUUUUAAAGAAUGUGAUUGAGUGAAUGAAAAUGUGGAAUUCUAUGAAUGAAUGCUAAACUCUUGUUCUCCCCCAGUACAUAAUAGACACUCAAUAAAUGUUUGUGGAUUUGAAUAAGGAAGGAAGGGAAUGGAGGACUGAGUGCUUUCUAAGGACACAGU